rnacentral:rRNA from 1 species
AUGUUCCCUUUCCAGUUCAAGAGGAAGUAGUUUCCUAUUAGGCUCAGCUUUGCCAUGACGGUCAACAAGGCAUAGGGGCAGACUAUCCCGAACGCGGGUAUAUACUUGCCCGAGCCAGUGUUCUCUCAUGGGUAGUUGUAUGUCGCGCUAUCUAGAUCCACUGCUAGAAAGAACAUCAAGAUCCUUACCGGCCCAGCUACAGACAAUGAGAAAAAUGUCUCAGACGAUAGUAGAAGGAAUAGCUCAAAUUACAGCAAAAGCAAAAGCUCCAACAAUAAGAAAAAGAUUUACACGAGGAACAUCGUCUAUAGGGAGGUACUUACAUCAUAG